AACGAACGCUGGCGGCAUGCCUAACACAUGCAAGUCGAACGAGACCUUCGGGUCUAGUGGCGCACGGGUGCGUAACGCGUGGGAACCUGCCCUUAGGUUCGGAAUAACUCCCCGAAAGGGGUGCUAAUACCGGAUAAUGUCUUCGGACCAAAGAUUUAUCGCCUUUGGAUGGGCCCGCGUUGGAUUAGCUAGUUGGUAGGGUAAAAGCCUACCAAGGCGACGAUCCAUAGCUGGUCUGAGAGGAUGAUCAGCCACACUGGGACUGAGACACGGCCCAGACUCCUACGGGAGGCAGCAGUGGGGAAUAUUGGACAAUGGGCGAAGGCCUGAUCCAGCAAUGUCGCGUGAGUGAUGAAGGCCUUAGGGUUGUAAAGCUCUUUUACCCGGGAUGAUAAUGACAGUACCGGGAGAAUAAGCUCCGGCUAACUCCGUG
rnacentral:rRNA from 1 species